CAAGCUAUGAAGGGCACAUGGUGGAUGCCUUGGCAUCAAGAGCCGAUGAAGGACGUUGGAGCCUGCGAUAAGCCCUGGGGAGUUGGCAACCAAGCUGUGAUCCGGGGGUGUCCGAAUGGGGAAACCCAGCACGAGUCAUGUCGUGUUACCCGCACCUGAAUACAUAGGGUGUGUGGAGGGAACGUGGGGAAGUGAAAC
rnacentral:rRNA from 1 species